rnacentral:tRNA from 1 species
CGGGAUGUAGCGUAGCCCGGUAUCGCGCCAGCAUGGGGUGCUGGAGGCCGUCGGUUCAAAUCCGGCCAUCCCGACAA